CACGUAGUUAGCCGGAGCUUAUUCAUUAAGUACCGUCAUUUUUCGUCCUUAAUAAAAGAAGUUUACAAUCCGAAAACCUUCAUCCUUCACGCGGCGUUGCUGCGUCAGGGUUUCCCCCAUUGCGCAAUAUCCCCCACUGCUGCCUCCCGUAGGAGUCUGGGCCGUGUCUCAGUCCCAAUGUGGCCGUUCAACCUCUCAGUCCGGCUACCGAUCGCGGUCUUGGUGAGCCGUUACCUCACCAACUAACUAAUCGGACGCGAGUCCAUCUCCGAGCGAUAAAUCUUUGAUAGCGCUGCCAUGCGACUUCGCUAUGUUAUGCGGUAUUAGCAAUCUUUUCAGAUUGUUAUUCCCCUCUCGGAGGCAGGUUACUCACGCGUUACUCACCCGUCCGCCACUAAACUUAACCAAUGUCCUUCCGAAGAAUUCCUUCAACUAAGUUCCGUUCGACUUGCAUGUGUUAGGCACGCCGCCAGCGUUCGUCCUGAGCCAGGAUCAAACUCU
rnacentral:rRNA from 1 species